GAUGAACGCUGGCGGCGUGCCUAAUACAUGCAGGUCGAGCGAACAGACGAGGAGCUUGCUCCUCUGACGUUAGCGGCGGACGGGUGAGUAACACGUGGAUAACCUACCUAUAAGACUGGGAUAACUUCGGGAAACCGGAGCUAAUACCGGAUAAUAUAUUGAACCGCAUGGUUCAAUAGUGAAAGACGGUUUUGCUGUCACUUAUAGAUGGAUCCGCGCCGCAUUAGCUAGUUGGUAAGGUAACGGCUUACCAAGGCGACGAUGCGUAGCCGACCUGAGAGGGUGAUCGGCCACACUGGAACUGAGACACGGUCCAGACUCCUACGGGAGGCAGCAGUAGGGAAUCUUCCGCAAUGGGCGAAAGCCUGACGGAGCAACGCCGCGUGAGUGAUGAAGGUCUUCGGAUCGUAAAACUCUGUUAUUAGGGAAGAACAAAUGUGUAAGUAACUAUGCACGUCUUGACGGUACCUAAUCGGAAAGCCACGGCUAACUACGUG
rnacentral:rRNA from 1 species